rnacentral:rRNA from 1 species
GGCAGCAGUGGGGAAUAUUGCACAAUGGGGGAAACCCUGAUGCAGCCAUGCCGCGUGUGUGAAGAAGGACCUUCGGGUGUUAAAGCACUUUCAGUAGGGAGGAAGGUAGUGUAGUUAACACCUGCAUUAUUUGACGUUACCUACAGAAGAAGCACCGGCUAACUCCGUGCCAGCAGCCGCGGUAAUACGGAGGGUGCGAGCGUUAAUCGGAAUUACUGGGCGUAAAGCGCAUGCAGGCGGCCUGUUAAGUCAGAUGUGAAAGCCCGGGGCUUAACCUCGGAAUUGCAUUUGAAACUGGCAGGCUAGAGUCUUGUAGAGGGGGGUAGGAAUUUCAGGUGUAGCGGUGAAAUGCGUAGAGAUCUGAAGGAAUACCAGUGGCGAAGGCCGGCCCCCUGGACAAAGACUGACGCUCAGAUGCGAAAGCGUGGGGAGCAAACAGGAUUAGAUACCCUGGUAG